AGCGAACGCUGGCGGCAGGCUUAACACAUGCAAGUCGAGCGGGCACUUUCGGGUGUCCGCGGCGGACGGGUGAGUAACGCGUGGGAACGUGCCCUCUGGUUCGGAAUAACUCAGGGAAACUUGAGCUAAUACCGGAUACGCUCUUUUGGGGAAAGGCUUGCUGCCGGAGGAUCGGCCCGCGUCUGAUUAGCUAGUUGGUGAGGUAACGGCUCACCAAGGCGACGAUCAGUAGCUGGUCUGAGAGGAUGAUCCGCCACACUGGGACUGAGACACGGCCCAGACUCCUACGGGAGGCAGCAGUGGGGAAUAUUGGACAAUGGGCGCAAGCCUGAUCCAGCCAUGCCGCGUGAGUGAUGAAGGCCUUAGGGUUGUAAAGCUCUUUUAUCCGGGACGAUAAUGACGGUACCGGAGGAAUAAGCCCCGGCUAACUUCGUG
rnacentral:rRNA from 1 species